UACGGAGGGUGCGAGCGUUGUCCGGAAUCACUGGGCGUAAAGGGCGCGUAGGCGGCCGUGCAAGCGUGGGGUGAAAGUCCGGGGCUCAACCCCGGAUCGGCCUCGCGAACUGCAGGGCUCGAGCACUGUAGAGGCGGGUGGAAUUCCGGGUGUAGCGGUGGAAUGCGUAGAGAUCCGGAAGAACACCGGUGGCGAAGGCGGGUCUCUGGGCCGAUACUGACGCUGAGGAGCGAAAGCGUGGGGAGCGAACAGG
rnacentral:rRNA from 1 species